UACGAAGGGUGCAAACGUUGCUCGGAAUCAUUGGGCGUAAAGCGCACGUAGGCGGCUUGCCAAGUCGGACGUGAAAUCCCUCAGCUCAACUGAGGACGUGCAUCCGAAACUGGAGCUUGAGUACUGAAGAGGAUCGCGGAAUUCCCGGUGUAGAGGUGAAAUUCGUAGAUAUCGGGAGGAACACCAGUGGCGAAGGCGGCGAUCUGGGCAGAUACUGACGCUGAGGUGCGAAAGCGUGGGGAGCAAACAGG
rnacentral:rRNA from 1 species